AUGGAGACUGACUGUUUGAAUGUAGUGAACCUCUGGAACUCGCGCCGUGUUUCGCACUCUCUGAUAGCGCCGUUACUAUUAGAUAUUGAGGAGCUAGCUGCUAGUUUCAUUUCUUUUGAUAUUCUACAUGUAAAGAGACAUGCCAAUCUCCCGGCCCACCUUUGCGCGAGACAAGCGAGCACAUUGGAGGUGUCGGAGUGUUGGAUGGACUCUCCUCCGGGUUUGCUGGUAACCAGCCUCAUGGCUGAUAGUGCUGGCGCCUUAUCGUUUGAAUAA
rnacentral:rRNA from 1 species